GUGCUGCCAGUGGCUUGGUCAAAGAUUAUAAUUACCACUUCCCUGUUUGUAUCAUUUUCCAUCUCCUGUGCUUUUAGUGCAGUAUUACUUCUCUUGUCCCUCGCUCUCCCUCUCUUUCUCCCUCUCUCCAGUAUACACAAGACCAAAAGUGCAGGCACAUCAUUUAUUGAUAAGACAAAAAGAAUGUAAUGAAAUUAUCAAUGUUCUUGAAUUAAUUAUGAACAUGAUUAAGAAAGCUAAAAUCUCAGGAGCCGGUCUCUCAUUACCCAUUCACUCGUAGGGAUUGCUUUCAUUCAGGGAAGGAGAGGCGAAAAAGCCUUCCAGCAGAGCCCACUCCGGCUCAGCCCUUCUCCCUGUGUGCCUGUCCCCUUGUCUCUGCUGCCGGGGCCGGCUGACCGACCUCUCUUGACUCACCGGCUCCCAGCCAGCCUGCCUGCCUGCCUGCCUGCCUGGACGCCUCUGCUGCGAUCCACGCUUGCCUCUGUGAUGCAGCCGGCGACAGCUAGCAGCCUGCUAGUGGCCUCUGACGUUUGCGUGGAAUAGAGAGGAUGUACUCAACUUUCCUGAUCUGCAACUGUGCUCCAGCUCAGGGGUCUUGACCCUACUUAAAAGAGAAACACUGAAAGGGUUCACGUCGGACAUCAGACUGGAUUUAGCUCGGGCUAAGACCUGAGGCAGUCGUGAUGGGAUUCUCUCUCUCUUUCUCCACUGGAGGUGUCAUGUUGUUUUUUAUUUCACAGGUGAGCUGUGACUUUGACUGUGUGUAUAUUGUGCUCAUUGUGAUGGCCACUGUUCAAAUAUGAUAUCAGAAUCUCUGAUCGUUUGUCUUUAGCUUUUGUAUGAGAAACUUUAAAAAAAUAAAGAGAUGAGUAAAAGGGUAAUCUGUGAUGUCAUCUUGAGAAGUCUUUUGAUUACAUAGUUAUAUUGUGAAAAGGUUUCAAUCUAUAUAAUUUGUCAAAUUUUUAUAUCGUUUUUAAACUAUUAUAUAUCUUAAUGAGGCUACUAAAGGUGCAAUGUUAAUCUAUUUGGGGUAUAAACAGUACUGAAGACUGUACUUUAGUGUUGCAUUUGUUUCUUGAAAAUGUAGGCCCAAGUAGAUAAUGAGAGGAAUAGUUCAGAGUUGGAAAAAAAAUUGCUAUGACACAACUUUCUGAACAACUUGAUCCAUAAUUUGAAUUUUUUUUUUUUUUAUAACAACCUGACUUGUUCUGUUUCUGAGAUAAGAGACCAGCCAAUGUUUCCCAGGUAUGAUUUGUUUUUCCAGCAUAAUUACUCCACUACAAUUUUCUUCCUGUUUCAUGAAACAAGGUUAGUAAAACUAGUAGGUAAACUAACUUGAUCAACCUUUUUCAGCCACCCGUAAUAAUCGUUCUUCAGUGUGCUAUUCUCUGAACAGAGCUUCAGUGGUGUCCAGCUGAGGAGGGAUAGUCUGGUAAAGGAUGAGAGGGAUGUCAGAAAACGAGAGAUAAUUGUGCACUUUGGAGCCAAUCUAAUAACUUCUCAAAAUGUUUUCUCCCUCUUUUUUCCUCAUAUAACCUUUUUAAGGUUUUCCUCACAACCACUUUGUGAGACAGAUGUCUGGACCAAUAACUGCAUAGCGAGCUAUGUGCUGAAAAACAUCUGUACUUGCAUCUAACUGAGUCUCAUAUUUCCACAUGCUGUCCCCUUUUCAGCAAAAGAAUGUGCAACUGUUAUGAAGAAAAGUUCUAAAGGGAUUUAAGUCACCAUCUUCCACUUUUUCAAACCAAUUUAUUCUGUAUUUACACCUGUAGUGUUACAGAGGGGCAGACCAGACAUCCUGCUCUUCUUCAUCCUGUGUGACUAAAGGAGACAAACAGCGUACAUUAAAACAGGGAACACAGCAACCUCUUCUGGACAAAAGAGAAAGUAGCAGAGAGGGAAGUGAAGGCAAUACAACACAUGUGAACUCUGUAAAGUCCUCACCCAAAGAAUGGAAAAAGCCAGAAAAAUGAAAAUAUCAGACUGCCGCAGUUUGGCUUCAGACUGAGACCAGGACUCUGACUCAGCAAACACUGAAGAUGAGCCUAGUAAGCUGACGGCCACAGCCAAGAAAAUGGUAAUUACUGCUCAGACUCACCUGUGACUUUGAAUUUAAAUGCAAUAUUGUGCCAUUUAUUAAAGCAAACAUGCAGUCUUAAGGAAGGUAAGUGAAGGUAAGACCCAGAGACAAGUCCUGGUACCAGCAUCAGACACAGCAUGGUGACAAAAUAUCAACAUUACCAGGGAAAACAAAACAACUUAAGCUUGGAUAAAUGACACACUUUAUAUGAACACUCUGACUGAGAUGUAAAAGAACAAUUUUGUCGCCUCUAGAAAACAUAUGCAGAAGUGCCAGCUUUGAAAAAUGUCAUCUUUAAAAGGCAAAUCUAAAUGUCAGAGAGACAGAUACUUUACACAUAGAGACCGCUGCCUUCUGGGCCUAACACAGAAAAGGCGUGAGAAUAAUAUUUUUUCCCAGUUGAAAUGAACUGCAAUUACCCAGCAUCAAGCAUACAAAGCUCACACUUACAUAGCCUGGAGACGAGCGCAAUCAGAAAGAACAGGGAGAAGAAUGGGGUUUUAUGUCACAGAGAAAAAUAGAGACUUUACUUUGUAACAGUGUGCAACAUGCUGCUGAGAUGUUAUGAAGUGUAAUGAAUUUACAGAUAAACACAUGACAUUCUUACUCAACAGAAAACAUUUCUAUGAUUGUUUUUUUUCUCAUUUUUGUAAUUUUCUAAUAAAUGAAAAAUGUGAAAGUAUUCUCAUUUGAUGCUUCCAAAAUGUUCAUAUACAUAUGUUGCCUUUUCUUUUUUUCCAAUUUUUGUUUUCUUUUGCUCCGGUGUCAGAGAAAUAAAAACCCCCCUUUCCACCAAGCGGUCCGGUCCAGUUCAGUUCGGUAGUGUACCCAUUAUUGGCAUUUGUACCGUCAAAAGUUGGGAAUGGUAUCAAAAUAAGGGAUCUGUACCGUCCUACUUUUUGGUACCCUUCUGUUGGGGUGCCGAUCUGACCCUUAAGGGUCCCUUGUUUACUGUGUCCUGUUUUUCUUCUUCGUUGAACUUAAUUAACACUUGGCUACACUGAGUUGGGCUGCUAAGAUGUCAUACUAUUACAGAGCUGACGCGGCUAGCUCCAUCUGGCUUACACUCCGCUUACCAAAUAAGGGUACAGUUGGCUGUGGAAACACAAGCAAAUUCAGGGUGUACCGAACUAAAUUGUACCGAACCAAACUGGACUGCUUGGUGGAAACGGGGCUAAAGCGUUUCAAAGAUGUCAGCUCACACUUAGCGAGAAGAGCCUAUUCAGAAGUCAUGCAUGCUCUUAAUGGUUAUAAUGGGUUUGUGAUCAAAUAAAUGCAGGUACCAACUGUGAUCAUUCUUAAACAUUUACAAACAAUAUUGUAAAACUACACAAAUGAUCCCCAUUAGGACAUAUUUUAAAUUAUUAAAAUAAUGUUAUACUAUGUCUUACCAAUUUCCUCUUUACACACCAACCUCUAAUUCAUUAUUGCUGUUUACAAAUACAUGAAUAAACAUGAAUAUGUUGUUGCAACCUAAUAGUGUAGUAACCAUUUAUAAAAUUGUGCUUCUGAUUGUUAAAUCUAAGAAGUGAGUCCCAGAAUAUAUUGUGAUGAGGACUGGAAAGAUCCCUGUGGUUAUACCAUAAAUCAAAGUUCACUGGACUUUCAAGACGUUUCAGAAGAUGACAUUUUGAGUUUUUUCAACCUUACUCUUGUUUGGAAGUUAGUGCGCGUGCAACUUCUUGUGUGAUUGAGCAGACUUUAUUUGUGCGGGGGCGAGUGUUUUGUUUUUUUUGGCACGGGGUCACAACUCCUGCCCAGCGGAGAGCCCAGAUAAAGCAAGUGGAGCAGCAAGCCCUGUUUAGGUCUAAAUUUUGCAUGCUGGUGAAUGUCAGGCUCAUGAAUAAGCAAAGCACGGAUCCAAGCCCUCUUUGCUCCUCAGUUUGUUUUGAAGUUUGGCAGUAUGGCAAAUGUCGAGACUUCUCAGUGGGGAGUACCAGCGGAGGCCUGAUUGGGUGGAUUCAACCUUAUUUUAAUCAUCAGUUGAGUUCAUGCAGGUAAAAGGCUAAACAAAGAGCGGGAAAAAAAAGAGGAACCAAAAGAUUGAUAUGGAAGAAAACUGAGGUGUGAGCAGAGAUGACGACAGAGGUGGAGAAGAGG